rnacentral:rRNA from 1 species
GAUGAACGCUGGCGGCGUGCCUAAUACAUGCAAGUCGAGCGAACAGAUAAGGAGCUUGCUCCUUUGACGUUAGCGGCGGACGGGUGAGUAACACGUGGAUAACCUACCUAUAAGACUGGGAUAACUUCGGGAAACCGGAGCUAAUACCGGAUAACAUAUUGAACCGCAUGGUUCAAUAGUGAAAGGCGGCUUUGCUGUCACUUAUAGAUGGAUCCGCGCCGUAUUAGCUAGUUGGUAAGGUAACGGCUUACCAAGGCAACGAUGCGUAGCCGACCUGAGAGGGUGAUCGGCCACACUGGAACUGAGACACGGUCCAGACUCCUACGGGAGGCAGCAGUAGGGAAUCUUCCGCAAUGGGCGAAAGCCUGACGGAGCAACGCCGCGUGAGUGAUGAAGGUCUUCGGAUCGUAAAACUCUGUUAUCAGGGAAGAACAAAUGUGUAAGUAACUGUGCACAUCUUGACGGUACCUGAUCAGAAAGCCACGGCUAACUACGUG